GAUGAACGCUGGCGGCGUGCCUAAUACAUGCAAGUCGAGCGAACGGACGAGAAGCUUGCUUCUCUGAUGUUAGCGGCGGACGGGUGAGUAACACGUGGAUAACCUACCUAUAAGACUGGGAUAACUUCGGGAAACCGGAGCUAAUACCGGAUAAUAUUUUGAACCGCAUGGUUCAAAAGUGAAAGACGGUCUUGCUAUCACUUAUAGAUGGAUCCGCGCUGCAUUAGCUAGUUGGUAAGGUAACGGCUUACCAAGGCAACGAUGCAUAGCCGACCUGAGAGGGUGAUCGGCCACACUGGAACUGAGACACGGUCCAGACUCCUACGGGAGGCAGCAGUAGGGAAUCUUCCGCAAAGGGCGAAAGCCUGACGGAGCAACGCCGCGUGAGUGAUGAAGGUCUUCGGAUCGUAAAACUCUGUUAUUAGGGAAGAACAUAUGUGUAAGUAACUGUGCACAUCUUGACGGUACCUAAUCAGAAAGCCACGGCUAACUACGUG
rnacentral:rRNA from 1 species